AAGUCGUAACAAGGUUUCCGUAGGUGAACCUGCGGAAGGAUCAUUACCGAACGGUCGACAAGAGUUAGUUGUGGUCCUCGAAAGGGGGCAUGUGCACGCUCUGUUUACACAUCCAUUCACUCCUGUGCACACUAUGUAGUUAUAUGGCUUGGGGACUCCGUCCUCUUGCCGUGGUCGUACGUCUUUACACACACACCGUAACAAAGUAUCUUGGAAUGCAUGUCGCGUUUAACGCAAUCCAAUACAACUUUCAGCAACGGAUCUCUUGGCUCUCGCAUGGAUGAAGAACGCAGGGAAAUGCGAUAAGUAAUGUGAAUUGCAGAAUUCAGUGAAUCAUUGAAUCUUUGAACGCACCUUGCGCCCUUUGGCUAUUCUGAAGGGCAUGCCUGUUUGAGUAUCAUGAACACCUCAACUCUCACGGCCUGCCCGCCGUGAUGAGCUUGGACUUUGGAGGUCUUGCCGGUGUACCGUCGGCUCCUUUCAAAAGAAUCAGCUUGCCAGUGUUUGGGGGCAUCACAGGUGUGAUAACCAUUUACGCUUGUGGUUUUCCCCCCGGCAACCUCCAGUGAAGGGGGUUCGCUGGAGCUCACAAAAGUCUUUCCUACGGGAGGA
rnacentral:rRNA from 1 species